UACAGAGGGGGCAAGCGUUAUUCGGAAUUAUUGGGCGUAAAGGGCGCGUAGGCGGCAUGGCAAGUGGAAGGUGAAAUCCCUCGGCUCAACUGAGGAACUGCCCUCCAAACUGCUUUGCUUGAGUCCGGGAGAGGUGAGUGGAAUUCCCAGUGUAGCGGUGAAAUGCGUAGAUAUUGGGAGGAACACCAGUGGCGAAGGCGGCUCACUGGACCGGAACUGACGCUGAGGCGCGAAAGCGUGGGGAGCAAACGGGAUUAGAAACCCUAGUAGUCC
rnacentral:rRNA from 1 species